rnacentral:rRNA from 1 species
AUUGAACGCUGGCGGCAUGCCUAACACAUGCAAGUCGAACGGCAGCAUGACUUGGGUUUACCCAAGUUGAUGGCGAGUGGCGGACGGGUGAGUAAUGCGUAGGGAUCUGCCCUGAAGAGUGGGAUAACCCGGGGAAACUCGGGCUAAUACCGCAUGAGACCUGAGGGUGAAAGGGGGCGUAAGCUCUCGCUUUAGGAUGAACCUACGUCCGAUUAGCUAGUUGGUAGGGUAAAGGCCUACCAAGGCGACGAUCGGUAGCUGUUCUGAGAGGAAGACAAGCAACACUGGGACUGAGACACGGCCCAGACUCCUACGGGAGGCAGCAGUGGGGAAUAUUGGACAAUGGGCGCAAGCCUGAUCCAGCAAUGCCGCGUGUGUGAAGAAGGCCUAAGGGUUGUAAAGCACUUUCGUUGGGGAAGAAAGGUAAUGGGUUAAUACCCCGUUACUGUGACGUUACCCAAAAAAGAAGCACCGGCUAACUCUGUGCCAGCCGCCGCUGUAA